UACGUAGGGGGCUAGCGUUGUCCGGAAUCAUUGGGCGUAAAGCGCGUGUAGGCGGCCCGGUAAGUCCGCUGUGAAAGUCGGGGGCUCAACCCUGGGAUGCCGGUGGAUACUGUCGGACUAGAGUACGGAAGAGGCGAGUGGAAUUCCCGGUGUAGCGGUGAAAUGCGCAGAUAUCGGGAGGAACACCAGUGGCGAAGGCGGCAUCCUGGACCGGUAUGACGCUGAGGCGCGAAAGCUAGGGUAGCAAACGGGAG
rnacentral:rRNA from 1 species